UACGGAGGAUCCAAGCGUUAUCCGGAAUCAUUGGGUUUAAAGGGUCCGUAGGCGGUUUGGUAAGUCAGUGGUGAAAGCCCAUCGCUCAACUGUCGAACUGCCAUUGAUACUGUAGGGCUUGAAUUAUUGUGAAGUAACUAGAAUAUGUAGUGUAGCGGUGAAAUGCUUAGAUAUUACAUGGAAUACCAAUUGCGAAGGCAGGUUACUAACAUUACAUUGACGCUGAUGGACGAAAGCGUGGGGAGCGAACAGG
rnacentral:rRNA from 1 species